AUUGAACGCUGGCGGCAUGCCUAACACAUGCAAGUCGAACGGCAGCACAGCCCGCAAGGGUGGGUGGCGAGUGGCGGACGGGUGAGGAAUACAUGGGAAUCUACCCUGUCGUGGGGGAUAACGUAGGGAAACUUACGCUAAUACCGCAUACGACCUCCGGGUGAAAGCGGCGGACCGCAAGGCGUCGCGCGACUGGAUGAGCCCAUGUCGGAUUAGCUAGUUGGCGGGGUAAAGGCCCACCAAGGCGACGAUCCGUAGCUGGUCUGAGAGGAUGAUCAGCCACACUGGAACUGAGACACGGUCCAGACUCCUACGGGAGGCAGCAGUGGGGAAUAUUGGACAAUGGGCGCAAGCCUGAUCCAGCAAUGCCGCGUGGGCGAAGAAGGCCUUCGGGUUGUAAAGCCCUUUUGUACGGGAAGAAAUCCUGUCGGUUAAUACCCGGCGGGGAUGUCGGUACCGUAAGAAUAAGCACCGGCUAACUUCGUGCCAGCCGCCGCUGUAA
rnacentral:rRNA from 1 species